GGGUCGGUGGCGUAGUUGGUUAUCGCAUCUGUCUAACACCGGAAAAGCGCAUGUACACAGAAGGUCCUCAGUUCGAUCCUGGGCCGACUCA